ACUAUUGGUCAUUCUUUUUAUCAAAACUCUAUUUAAUUUGUCACAACUGUAGAAAUGUCAAAUAUCAAUGCAACAUCGGGUUAUUUUGAAUGCUCUGAUGUGAGUGAUGGCUCUUUUUGAAGGCACACAUACAUAUAACACACACAAUGCCAUAGUUGGUAAAGACUUGUGAUUAUGGAAAGACAGCUUCCUAUUUAACCCUUUCAUACACUUGGACCAUUCGACACUAGCUCGCCGUCCAUGGCCUCCUCUGAUUGGCUUCUGGUCUGCUUUUAUACCCAUACAAUGACUUAACAUUGAAUCCAGUUCUGUUUUCAAAUUAUCCCUGGUUAUCACUCACACAAUAAUCACUCAACUGCAAAGUACGUCUGGCUUUAACAAAUUCGAUCCAAAAAAUUGUUUUUUUUUAUUGGGAUACCUUCUUAAAAUUGGUUCACCCUUUAACACAGGGGUGUCAAACUUAUUUCGGCUUGGGGGCCACAUUCAACCCGUCUGAUCUUAAGUGGGCCGGACCAGUAACACAACAGCAAAAUAGCCUUUGUUCAAGUUGUUAGCUGUAACUUUGUUUUUGUCUCGUUUCUUCUUAGUUGGAAAAAUACCUCAAACAACCUAGUAAUCUAAUCACUUAUAUUAUACUUUCAUUCAGAGUCCAAUGCAUUUCAAAUAAAAUGGAUUUCAUAAAAAAAAAAAAA